UACGUAGGGGGCAAGCGUUGUCCGGAUUUAUUGGGCGUAAAGAGCGUGUAGGCGGCUGGGUAGGUCCGUUGUGAAAACUCGAGCUCAACCUCGAGACGCCGAUGGAAACCCUCCAGCUAGAGUCCGGAAGAGGAGAGUGGAAUUCCCUGGUGUAGCGGUGAAAUGCGCAGAUAUCAGGAAGAACACCGGUGGCGAAGGCGGGACUCUGGGCCGAUACUGACGCUGAGGAGCGAAAGCGUGGGGAGCGAACAGG
rnacentral:rRNA from 1 species